AAUUCCAAAGGGAUUCGGGACAGAAAAAACCCAGAAUUCCAAAGGGAUUUGGGGUGGGAAUCCAGAAUUCCAAAGGGAUUUUUGGGAUGGAAAACCCAGAAUUCCAAAGGGAUUUUCCAUGGGAUUUAGGGACGAGAAGUGAGAAUUCCAAAGGGAUUUUGGGAUGGAAAAACCAGAAUUCCCAAAAGAUCAUCAGAAUUCCAAAGGGAAUUUGGGAUAGGAAAUGAGAAUUCCAAAGGGUUCUUAAAAUUCCAUGAGAAAUUGGGAUGGAAAAACCCGGAAUUCCAAAGGGAUUUGGGAUGGAAAAAACCCAGAAUUCCAAAGGGAUUUUUGGGAUGGAAAAUCCGGAAUUCCAAAGGGAUUUUAGGGAUGGAAAAACCCGGAAUUCCAAAGGGAUUUUGGGAUGGAAAUCCCGGAAUUCCAAAGGGAUUUUUGGGAUGGAAAAAACCCAGUAUUCCAAAGGGAUUUGGGGUGGGAAAUAAUGGAAUAAUGACAAAAAACAUUGGGAAUUUUAGCUGGGAAAACCUCAGGAUGGAGCAGGGAAAAUUCCCAGAUUUUCCCCAUUCCCAGAUUUUUCCCAUUUUUCCCCAUUCCCAUUUUCCCAUUUUUCCCAGAUUUUUCCCAUUUUCCCCAUUCCCAAAUUUCCCCAUUCCCAAAUUUCCCCAUUCCCAAAUUUCCCCAUUCCCAUUUUCCCAUUUUUCCCCAUUUUCCCCAGAUUUUCCCAUUUUCCCUAUUCCCAGAUCUCCCCAUUCCCAUUUUCCUAUUUUUUCCCAUUUUUCCCAUUUAUCCAUUUUCUCCACUUUUCCCAUUUUUCACAGAUUUUUCCCAAAUUUUCCCAUAUUUUUUCCAUUUUUUCCCCCAUUUUUCCCAUUCCCAGAUUUCCCCACUGCCAUUUCCCAUUCCCAAAUUUCCCUAUUCCCAGAUUUUUCCCAUUUUUUCCCAUUCCCAGAUUUUUCCCCCUUUUCCCCCAUUUUCCCCAUUUUCCCCAGAUUUUCCCAGAUUUUUCCCAUUGUUCCCCAUUCCCAUUUUCCCAUUUUUCCCCAGAUUUUUCCCAGAUUUUCCCCAGAUUUUUCCCAGAUUUUUCCCAUUCCCAUUUUUCCCCAUUUUUCCAGAUUUUCUCCACUUUUCCCAUUUUCCCAGAUUUUCCCAUUUUUCCUAUUUUCCCCNNNNNNNNNNNNNNNN
rnacentral:lncRNA from 1 species